rnacentral:rRNA from 1 species
UAUUGCACAAUGGGCGAAAGCCUGAUGCAGCAACGCCGCGUGAGUGAUGAAGGCCUUCGGGUUGUAAAGCUCUGUCUUCUGGGGCGAUAAUGACGGUACUUGAGGAGGAAGCCCCGGCUAACUACGUGCCAGCAGCCGCGGUAAUACGUAGGGGGCUAGCGUUAUCCGGAAUUACUGGGCGUAAAGGGUGCGUAGGUGGUUUCUUAAGUCAGAGGUGAAAGGCUACGGCUCAACCGUAGUAAGCCUUUGAAACUGGGGAACUUGAGCGCAGGAGAGGAGAGUGGAAUUCCUAGUGUAGCGGUGAAAUGCGUAGAUAUUAGGAGGAACACCAGUUGCGAAGGCGGCUCUCUGGACUGUAACUGACACUGAGGCACGAAAGCGUGGGGAGCAAACAGG